UACGUAGGGUGCGAGCGUUAAUCGGAAUUACUGGGCGUAAAGCGUGCGCAGGCGGUUCGUUUGUGUCGGCGGUGAAAGCCCCGGGCUUAACCCCGGGAAUGGCAUUGAAAAACUGUCGGUCUGGAGGGUUGGAGGGGGGACUGGAAUUCUUGGUGUAGCAGUGAAAUGCGUAGAUAUCAAAGAGGAACACCAGUGGCGAAGGCGAGUCCCUGGACAAUACCUGACACUGAGGCACGAAAGCCAAGGGAGCAAACAGG
rnacentral:rRNA from 1 species